rnacentral:rRNA from 1 species
GGAGGAAAGCAGGGGAUCGUAAGGCCUUGCGCUUUUGGAGUGGCCGAUGCCUGAUUAGCUAGUUGGUGGGGUAAGAGCCUACCAAGGCGACGAUCAGUAGUUGGUCUGAGAGGACGACCAGCCACACUGGGACUGAGACACGGCCCAGACUCCUACGGGAGGCAGCAGUGGGGAAUUUUGGACAAUGGGCGGAAGCCUGAUCCAGCAAUGCCGCGUGAGUGAAGAAGGCCUUCGGGUUGUAAAGCUCUUUCAGUCGAGAAGAAAAGGUUGUGACUAAUAAUCGCAACUUAUGACGGUAUCGACAGAAGAAGCACCGGCUAACUACGUGCCAGCAGCCGCGGUAAUACGUAGGGUGCGAGCGUUAAUCGGAAUUACUGGGCGUAAAGGGUGCGCAGGCGGCUCUGUAAGUCAGAUGUGAAAUCCCCGGGCUUAACCUGGGAAU